rnacentral:rRNA from 1 species
UACACAUGCAGUCGAACGAUGACUUUUGUGCUUGCACGAAUGAUUAGUGGCGAACGGGUGAGUAACACGUGAGUAACCUGCCCUUGACUUCGGGAUAAGCCUGGGAAACUGGGUCUAAUACCGGAUAUGCACCGUGGACCGCAUGUUCUUGGUGGAAAGAUUUUUUGGUCAGGGAUGGACUCGCGGCCUAUCAGCUUGUUGGUGAGGUAAUGGCUCACCAAGGCGACGACGGGUAGCCGGCCUGAGAGGNUGACCGGCCACACUGGGACUGAGACACGGCCCAGACUCCUACGGGAGGCAGCAGUGGGGAAUAUUGCACAAUGGGCGAA